GGAAGACCCCUCAAAUUAAGAUCAACUUUAAGGUUCACACUAACAAAAAUUUUUAGAUCAUGUACACGUUUGUUUGGGUUUGCUGCUUUCCGACACGUUUCCAUGGGUACUCAAGUAGAUUUACAGCAGUUCAUUCCCAAGCCGUCAUCAACUUUUGUUCUCAGACUCAUGGAGCCCAUUCAUCAUCAUCAUCAUCAGUGCUGCAGAUCUGAGGUUAAACUGCGGGUGAGGCCCCUCUUUUGGCUGAAUGAAUUUUCUCAGAAAUAGAUUUGAUCCUAAGAACGUGUCCCAUCGAUGGGCAUUUAGCAGAGAAUCAGGUGUAAAGUUGCUUCUUUACUGCCCUACCUGGCCACCAACAGUUGCAUUUCUAAAGUGUCUGAGAAAGAAAUAAAACGAGAUUGUUCUGAACAAUUAACCAUCUAACCUGCUGUAGGAUGUUCUGAAUGACCUCAUUUUGGAGAAACAGGUAUGGUCAGACUAGAUUGAUAAGCCAAUAGCUGCAACAGCUAAACCAUACCAGUUUACUUGGAUAGCACAUUCAAACACAACAUGAGAGCUGAUCAAAUUGUUUCCCAUAAAAUACAUCGCUCC